UCUUCUUCUUCUUCUUCUUUUGUAAUUUAUGAACCUACAGUUAAGUGUCAAUUUCACAAUAAUUAUGAACAUAUAACUAUGUAAUGAACUUAUGAUUUGCUAACAUAUAAAGAAAAGAAUUUGAACCAUGAACAAAGAAAAAAAGAAAAAGAAAAAGGAUUCAGUAAAUGUAUUAGAUGUCUGAGUUUGUCAGCAUAUGGAUAUAGAAUGUACCUUGAGAGUCUAUUGGAUUAAUGGAUUGGACUGGACUUGACAAAUUGUUUGGCAAAUUUAGACUAGAAUAUACUUUAAUGUGGUCUGAUCCGACCUGUUUACAGCCCUAUAUGAGGGAUCUAACCCGAUGUACAUACGAAGGAAACAAGUUUCCUCCUAUCUUUCAUCACCCCCUACAAUUCACUGUUACUAAUGAGUAAUAAAAAUUUGCUAAUCUCAACAAUGAUCUAGAAUGAUCCAGCAACUUUGUAGUUUCCCCACUAAUAAGAAAUUUUUGUAAGAAAAGAAACAAUCCCAGUAAAUUUAUGUUGAACUCUCUCCUUAAUGCAGUAAAAAAUUUUUAGUGUAACAAUCUUUGCAGGCAUGGUGAGUUUCAGCUUGCAAAUGAUGGAGCAUUAUUCAAUUAGGAAAUAUAGUUUAUAUGCUAUAACUAUUGUAGAUUCAGAAUACAAACUUGUAUAAAUGACAAUUAAAAUAUGUUCAAGCGUUUUGCUACAUUGCAAGACAUGGAACCUAAACCAUUGAAAUUUAUGUUCUACAAAGAAAACAAAAUUUUGGUCAAACCUGUGUACCAAGUGCUUUCAG
rnacentral:misc_RNA from 1 species